rnacentral:rRNA from 1 species
UACGGAGGGUGCAAGCGUUAUCCGGAUUUAUUGGGUUUAAAGGGUCCGUAGGCGGAUCUGUAAGUCAGUGGUGAAAUCUCACAGCUUAACUGUGAAACUGCCAUUGAUACUGCAGGUCUUGAGUGUUAUUGAAGUAGCUGGAAUAAGUAGUGUAGCGGUGAAAUGCAUAGAUAUUACUUAGUACACCAAUUGCGAAGGCAGGUUACUAAGCAACAACUGACGCUGAUGGACGAAAGCGUGGGGAGCGAACAGG